UGCAAGUCGAACGGGACUACUUUUGGUAGCAAUACUAAGAGUAGUUUAGUGGCGAACGGGUGCGUAACACGUGGGCAAUCUGCCGAGAAGUGGGGGAUAGCUCGCUGAAAGGCGAAUUAAUACCGCAUAUGAUCAGGGACGACAUCUUCCCAACAUCAAAGCCGGGGCAACCUGGCGCUUUUUGAGGAGCCCGCGGCCUAUCAGCUAGUUGGCGAGGUAACGGCUCACCAAGGCUAUGACGGGUAGCUGGUCUGAGAGGACGACCAGUCACACUGGAACUGAGACACGGUCCAGACACCUACGGGUGGCAGCAGUCGAGAAUUUUUCUCAAUGGGGGAAGCCCUGAAGGAGCGACGCCGCGUGGAGGAUGAAGGCUUUCGGGUUGUAAACUCCUGUCAUUUGAGAACAAGUGCCAACAAGUAACUACUGUUGGCUUGAUAGUAUCAGAAGAGGAAGAGACGGCUAACUCUGUGCCAGCAGCCGCGGUAAUACAGAGGUCUCAAGCGUUGUUCGGAUUCAUUGGGCGUAAAGGGUGCGUAGGUGGCGCCGUAAGUCGGGUGUGAAAUUUCGGAGCUUAACUCCGAAACUGCAUUCGAUACUGCGGUGCUUGAGGACUGGAGAGGAGACUGGAAUUCAUGGUGUAGCAGUGAAAUGCGUAGAGAUCAUGAGGAAGACCAGUGGCGAAGGCGGGUCUCUGGACAGUUCCUGACACUGAGGCACGAAGGCCAGGGGAGCAAACGGGAUUAGAUACCCCGGUAGUCCUGGCAGUAAACGGUGCACGUUUGGUGUGGGAGGAUUCGACCCCUUCUGCGCCGGAGCUAACGCGUUAAACGUGCCGCCUGGGGAGUACGGUCGCAAGAUUAAAACUCAAAGAAAUUGACGGGGGCCCGCACAAGCGGUGGAGUAUGUGGCUUAAUUCGAUGCAACGCGAA
rnacentral:rRNA from 1 species